rnacentral:rRNA from 1 species
GACGAACGCUGGCGGCGUGCCUAAUACAUGCCAGUUGAGCGCUGAAGGUUGGUACUUGUACCAACUGGAUGAGCAGCGAACGGGUGAGUAACGCGUGGGGAAUCUGCCUUUGAGCGGGGGACAACAUUUGGAAACGAAUGCUAGUACCGCAUAAAAACUUUAAACACAAGUUUUAAGUUUGAAAGAUGCAAUUGCAUCACUCAAAGAUGAUCCCGCGUUGUAUUAGCUAGUUGGUGAGGUAAAGGCUCACCAAGGCGAUGAUACAUAGCCGACCUGAGAGGGUGAUCGGCCACAUUGGGACUGAGACACGGCCCAAACUCCUACGGGAGGCAGCAGUAGGGAAUCUUCGGCAAUGGACGAAAGUCUGACCGAGCAACGCCGCGUGAGUGAAGAAGGGUUUCGGAUCGUAAAACUCUGUUGGUAGAGAAGAACGUUGGUGAGAGUGGAAAGCUCAUCAAGUGACGGUAACUACCCAGAAAGGGACGGCUAACUACGUG